rnacentral:rRNA from 1 species
ACUAAGCGUACACGGUGGAUGCCCUGGCAGUCAGAGGCGAUGAAGGACGUGCUAAUCUGCGAUAAGCGUCGGUAAGGUGAUAUGAACCGUUAUAACCGGCGAUUUCCGAAUGGGGAAACCCAGUGUGAUUCGUCACACUAUCAUUAACUGAAUCCAUAGGUUAAUGAGGCGAACCGGGGGAACUGAAACAUCUAAGUACCCCGAGGAAAAGAAAUCAACCGAGAUUCCCCCAGUAGCGGCGAGCGAACGGGGAGCAGCCCAGAGCCUGAAUCAGUGUGUGUGUUAGUGGAAGCGUCUGGAAAGGCGUGCGAUACAGGGUGACAGCCCCGUACACAAAAAUGCACAUAUUGUGAGCUCGAUGAGUAGGGCGGGACACGUGGUAUCCUGUCUGAAUAUGGGGGGACCAUCCUCCAAGGCUAAAUACUCCUGACUGACCGAUAGUGAACCAGUACCGUGAGGGAAAGGCGAAAAGAACCCCGGCGAGGGGAGUGAAAAAGAACCUGAAACCGUGUACGUACAAGCAGUGGGAGCACGCUUAGGCGUGUGACUGCGUACCUUUUGUAUAAUGGGUCAGCGACUUAUAUUCUGUAGCAAGGUUAACCGAAUAGGGGAGCCGAAGGGAAACCGAGUCUUAACUGGGCGUUAAGUUGCAGGGUAUAGACCCGAAACCCGGUGAUCUAGCCAUGGGCAGGUUGAAGGUUGGGUAACACUAACUGGAGGACCGAACCGACUAAUGUUGAAAAAUUAGCGGAUGACUUGUGGCUGGGGGUGAAAGGCCAAUCAAACCGGGAGAUAGCUGGUUCUCCCCGAAAGCUAUUUAGGUAGCGCCUCGUGAAUUCAUCUCCGGGGGUAGAGCACUGUUUCGGCAAGGGGGUCAUCCCGACUUACCAACCCGAUGCAAACUGCGAAUACCGGAGAAUGUUAUCACGGGAGACACACGGCGGGUGCUAACGUCCGUCGUGAAGAGGGAAACAACCCAGACCGCCAGCUAAGGUCCCAAAGUCAUGGUUAAGUGGGAAACGAUGUGGGAAGGCCCAGACAGCCAGGAUGUUGGCUUAGAAGCAGCCAUCAUUUAAAGAAAGCGUAAUAGCUCACUGGUCGAGUCGGCCUGCGCGGAAGAUGUAACGGGGCUAAACCAUGCACCGAAGCUGCGGCAGCGACACUAUGUGUUGUUGGGUAGGGGAGCGUUCUGUAAGCCUGUGAAGGUGUACUGUGAGGUAUGCUGGAGGUAUCAGAAGUGCGAAUGCUGACAUAAGUAACGAUAAAGCGGGUGAAAAGCCCGCUCGCCGGAAGACCAAGGGUUCCUGUCCAACGUUAAUCGGGGCAGGGUGAGUCGACUCCUAAGGCGAGGCCGAAAGGCGUAGUCGAUGGGAAACAGGUUAAUAUUCCUGUACUUGGUGUUACUGCGAAGGGGGGACGGAGAAGGCUAUGUUGGCCGGGCGACGGUUGUCCCGGUUUAAGCGUGUAGGCUGGUUUUCCAGGCAAAUCCGGAAAACUAAGGCUGAGGCGUGAUGACGAGGCACUACGGUGCUGAAGCAACAAAUGCCCUGCUUCCAGGAAAAGCCUCUAAGCAUCAGGUAACAUCAAAUCGUACCCCAAACCGACACAGGUGGUCAGGUAGAGAAUACCAAGGCGCUUGAGAGAACUCGGGUGAAGGAACUAGGCAAAAUGGUGCCGUAACUUCGGGAGAAGGCACGCUGAUAUGUAGGUGAAGUCCCUCGCGGAUGGAGCUGAAAUCAGUCGAAGAUACCAGCUGGCUGCAACUGUUUAUUAAAAACACAGCACUGUGCAAACACGAAAGUGGACGUAUACGGUGUGACGCCUGCCCGGUGCCGGAAGGUUAAUUGAUGGGGUCAGCGCAAGCGAAGCUCUUGAUCGAAGCCCCGGUAAACGGCGGCCGUAACUAUAACGGUCCUAAGGUAGCGAAAUUCCUUGUCGGGUAAGUUCCGACCUGCACGAAUGGCGUAAUGAUGGCCAGGCUGUCUCCACCCGAGACUCAGUGAAAUUGAACUCGCUGUGAAGAUGCAGUGUACCCGCGGCAAGACGGAAAGACCCCGUGAACCUUUACUAUAGCUUGACACUGAACAUUGAGCCUUGAUGUGUAGGAUAGGUGGGAGGCUUUGAAGUGUGGACGCCAGUCUGCAUGGAGCCGACCUUGAAAUACCACCCUUUAAUGUUUGAUGUUCUAACGUUGACCCGUAAUCCGGGUUGCGGACAGUGUCUGGUGGGUAGUUUGACUGGGGCGGUCUCCUCCUAAAGAGUAACGGAGGAGCACGAAGGUUGGCUAAUCCUGGUCGGACAUCAGGAGGUUAGUGCAAUGGCAUAAGCCAGCUUGACUGCGAGCGUGACGGCGCGAGCAGGUGCGAAAGCAGGUCAUAGUGAUCCGGUGGUUCUGAAUGGAAGGGCCAUCGCUCAACGGAUAAAAGGUACUCCGGGGAUAACAGGCUGAUACCGCCCAAGAGUUCAUAUCGACGGCGGUGUUUGGCACCUCGAUGUCGGCUCAUCACAUCCUGGGGCUGAAGUAGGUCCCAAGGGUAUGGCUGUUCGCCAUUUAAAGUGGUACGCGAGCUGGGUUUAGAACGUCGUGAGACAGUUCGGUCCCUAUCUGCCGUGGGCGCUGGAGAACUGAGGGGGCUGCUCCUAGUACGAGAGGACCGGAGUGGACGCAUCACUGGUGUUCGGGUUGUCAUGCCAAUGGCACUGCCCGGUAGCUAAAUGCGGAAGAGAUAAGUGCUGAAAGCAUCUAAGCACGAAACUUGCCCGAGAUGAGUUCUCCCUGACUCCUUGAGAGUCCUGAAGGAACGUUGAAGACGACGACGUUGAUAGGCCGGGUGUGUAAGCGCAGCGAUGCGUUGAGCUAACCGGUACUAAUGAACCGUGAGGCUUAACC